GCCCCCGUGGUGUAAUGGAUAACGCAUCGGCCUCCGGAGCCGGUAAUCCAGGUUCGAUUCCUGGCGGGGGCA
rnacentral:tRNA from 1 species